rnacentral:rRNA from 1 species
CUGGCUCAGGACGAACGCUGGCGGCGUGCUUAACACAUGCAAGUCGAACGGAAAGGCCCAGCUUGCUGGGUACUCGAGUGGCGAACGGGUGAGUAACACGUGGGUGAUCUGCCCUGCACUCUGGGAUAAGCCUGGGAAACUGGGUCUAAUACCGGAUAUGACCAACUGUCGCAUGGUGGUUGGUGGAAAGCUUUUGCGGUGUGGGAUGGGCCCGCGGCCUAUCAGCUUGUUGGUGGGGUAAUGGCCUACCAAGGCGACGACGGGUAGCCGACCUGAGAGGGUGAUCGGCCACACUGGGACUGAGACACGGCCCAGACUCCUACGGGAGGCAGCAGUGGGGAAUAUUGCACAAUGGGCGCAAGCCUGAUGCAGCGACGCCGCGUGAGGGAUGAACGGCCUUCGGGUUGUAAACCUCUUUC